GAUGAACGCUGGCGGCGUGCUUAACACAUGCAAGUCGAACGAAGCACUUUAUUUGAUUUACUUCGGGACUGAUUAUUUUGUGACUGAGUGGCGGACGGGCGAGUAACGCGUGGGUAACCUGCCUUGUACAGGGGGAUAACAGUUGGAAACGGCUGCUAAUACCGCAUAAGCGCACAGCAUCGCAUGAUGCAGUGUGAAAAACUCCGGUGGUAUAAGAUGGACCCGCGUUGGAUUAGCUAGUUGGUGAGGUAACGGCCCACCAAGGCGACGAUCCAUAGCCGACCUGAGAGGGUGACCGGCCACAUUGGGACUGAGACACGGCCCAAACUCCUACGGGAGGCAGCAGUGGGGAAUAUUGCACAAUGGGCGAAAGCCUGAUGCAGCGACGCCGCGUGAGCGAAGAAGUAUUUCGGUAUGUAAAGCUCUAUCAGCAGGGAAGAUAAUGACGGUACCUGACUAAGAAGCACCGGCUAAAUACGUG
rnacentral:rRNA from 1 species